rnacentral:lncRNA from 1 species
CUUCAUACAGAGCUGCCAUUACCUGCCCCAGACACACCUUGAGAUUAGGAAGAAAAGAGGUUAGUUUGUAUGAGUGUACUGUAGCUGUAGAGCAGGAAUAUUAACCCUCCUCUCCCCUCUCCCCACCCUUCAUACUGUAUCUUCGCAAACAAAGAGUCCUUAAUACCGGACACAUCACCAACAGCCCCUUCCCAUGGACAGGCGGUGUCUGGCCAAGUGUCUGUCUGAAAAUAAAAUUAAAAAUGGUCAGUCAGCAAGUCUGAUGAAGUAUUGAUAUAGAGGCUGUAAUAGUAGGUCAGGUUCUGGAAAAGAACAGGCAAAGUGUAGGAAUAGUGCAAGGUCAGAAGGCAGGCGAAGGUCAGGACACAUACCAAGGUCGGGAGACAGGCGAAGGUCAGGACACAUACAAAGGUUCGGGAGACAGGUGAAGGUCAGGAAGUAGGCAACGGUCGGUCGGGAGACAGACGAAGGUCUAGAGACAGGCAAGAGUUUAACAAGGAAUUAAUGAUGAACAGGCACAAACAUGGAAGCUUUGCUUUAGAAUGUAAAUUAGUUUGAGUAGGGUCUUAAGCACCUUCUGUUCCCAUACAUCCAACUUGCCUUGUUGCAACUUUUUGUUUGUUAGCCUAUUGUACAGCGCUACAAAUUGUUAGCACCUUAUAAAUAAUAGUAAAUCAGAGUUUCUACAGAUUGCCAUUAAAUUAAACCAUUUUGCUUUAUUCAGAUUUUAUUUUCGUUUUUAUGUGUUUUGUAUUUUGCUUUUAUAAGUUUCCUGUCCUUCACCUGUGAAUAUUGGAUCCUAGUCCUUCUGGAUAUCACUGGAUACCACUGGAUGUGGAGAGAGUUUUUUUUUAAAUUUUAUUUUGUGUAGGGAAACCUACGUGAUAUUCAGCAGAUGGUUUUAAUGUUGUGACUGUUCAGUGUAUGUAUGUAUAGGUGUCAUGUUUGUAUAGAUAUUUAUACACUGCACUCCCUUGAAGCCAGUAUCCUGACAGUUUAAUAAUUAUCUGUGAACGAUAUAGAUAUUAUGGAUGAAUGUAUAGGAUGUAUAGGUGUCUAUUAUUUAUAUGGAUGUCUGCAUUGUAUAUCACUCUGUAUUUGUUUCCUUCCACAAUUGUUUUCAAGGAUGAGUUGCUAUGGAAACAGAGUGCUGUGUGAUGUGUGUAUUUGUGCAGACGAUCAGUCUGCAUCAUGUAGCGGAGAUGAUCUGUGCCAGCUCGAUAAUCAGACAGAGGGAGACACUAGGUACAAAGUGAACAGCAAGCAUGUGACCAGAAACUAACGAGAUCCUAAUAUCGGAACCAAGAAACAGCAAGUCCCCCCCUCCCCAACAAUGUCUGCACCAGGAAACAUUGACCCCCCAGAUUCUGAAUGAGGAAAAAGGGACCCCUUCAAGUUUGCACCAGGAAAUCUCAUAUCUUUAUUAAGAAUCUAGGCUCUGCAAAUCUUCAUAAGGUAUCAAGGACCCCCAACAUAUGAAUUCCAAAAGAGGGAAUCAUUAUCUGCACAAGGACACAUUAUCUAUAACCGAAAACAGAGGCUUCUGACAACUGUCCUUUGACAAGCAAGACCCCAUUAUAUAAUAAUAAGAAAGCAAUUCAUGGGGGAAAUAAAUAAAUAGGAAGCAGGAAUUCGUGAAGUUCCACAGGGCUCACAGAUUUCCAUUUCCUCGAAAGAAACAUAACAAAAUUAGCACCAUCAAACCAGUGCCUGGAUGACUACUACAUCCCAACAAUUUUAAUAUGGAGUCAUCACAGGCCGGCGAGACACAAAGUCCUGGGGUUAUUUCAAAAGACAUUCAAAACACAAGUCACAUCUCGGGGGAACAUAAAUCUCCUCAACCAUCUAAGCUAUCUUCUUUCAAGGGUGUUUUCUGCCGAUUCAGAAGGAGAGACCAGGUGGGAAACCAAUCAGAAGAUGUAGAAGAAGUAACACCAUGCAUGGCCAACACACCAGUGGGUAGUAGCAAAUUUCCAGGAGUGGGGGUAAUGAAGCGCAGGAUCUGGACCAUUUUUAGGCUACCAUGUCUUAGAUCCUUAGAAGACAGAGAGGUAAAUGAUUAUUCAAAGGAAAAGAAAGGAAGGAAAAAGAGAGGAGGGGACUAUUACCUCCAAAACCCUUUG